rnacentral:lncRNA from 1 species
UUUUCUUAAUUUUUAUUAGUAUUUCAUAUUUCUUCAUUUUUCAAGGUUUCCUAGUUCUCUGGGUCACUGUCCCCUGGGCAGGCUAGAGUUGAUUAGUGUUGUUCUUACUAGGUGGGGGCCCCUAGAUCUGAACACCGUUUCCACUGUCAUCUGACCAGUCCAUAUCCUCAUUUGAAUAAUGUGCUUCUAGCGAUGCAGACUAACUGUAAUUAUGAAAAUAGUUAACCCUUAUUGAAUUUGUUUAUGUACCAGGCCCUGUGCCAAGCGCUUUCUGGAAGAACCACAUGUGAAAGGUAUUUUUGUAUCUUUUUUUGUACAUGAAUCAUUGGAAGCUUAAAGAAGUUGGUUAACUUGGCCAAGGACACAGUGAUCCAAGCCCAGGGCACUUGGCCAUGAGGAUGUAUUAUAUUUCCUUCCCUUUGCACCCACCUAUGACACACGUCUGACCAUUUAAGCCUUUGGCUUCAGCAAGAUGGAAAGCAAUUUGUCUUCUCCUAAAGAUCAAAGCCUGCUCUGACCCUGUGGGAAAUACACUUACCAUUUACCCAGACAAUUACUUUCCCCAGGUUCCAGGAGGUGCCAAAUCUCCCCUUUUUCUCCUUCCAGACAAUCACAGCCCUCAUUAAGCCCUUCCUGUUUGCACUCUCAUUUCCUACAUAAAUUCCUAUCAAGGUUACCAGCCCUCCCCAGUUUAUUCCUUUCUCUCUUUCCCAGCCAUGGCCUCUCAGCCACCAGUCACCUCUUCCCCCAACCCCCUGACCUCCCACUUCUCUUCUCAAUUCAACUGCUCUUCAGGAUUUCUGGUUGCACUACCUCUGGAGACAAGACUCUAGCAUUUGUUCUUGCCUGCCAUGGGAAGCUUUGGGAAGAAGCCAGCUGCCAUGUUGUGAGAACUCUCAAGCAGCUGUGUGGAGAGAUCCAUGUGGUGAGGAACUGAAGCCUCCUACCCACCAUCAAGUCAGUGGCUCACUACUGUUGCAGUGAAUUCUCCAGCCCAUGAAGACUUUAGAUGAUUUACCCAACAUCUUGAUUAUAGCCUCAUGGAUUCCCUGAGCCAGAACAACCCAGCUAAGCCUCUCCUGAAUUCCUUACCUACAGAAACUGUGAGAUAAUAAAUAUUUAUUCUUUUAAGCCAUCAAAUUUUGGGUAAUUUAUUAUGCAGUAAUAUGUAACUAAUAUAGAUAAAAAUAUUCAGUUUGAAGGAAAGAAGAAAAAUAACUUACAAUAAACUCAAGAAAUAAAAUAAAAU